CCUAGCCUGGGAACAUCAUGGAUCCUAAUAAAGGCGUCUGCUUCAAAUCCUGCCUUGCUUUCUCUGUCUGCCUGCACUCUGCCCUGACCUGCCUGUCUAGUCGAUUGAGACAUGUCUAGUACUUCCUCCAGGACCUAUUUUCCCACAGGCUGACCCUGAUAAAGGAGGCAAAUCUCAAAGGGACUGACGGUCACACCACAGCUUAGUGAGUGACACUGAUGGACUGUGACGGGAACCUGACAGUGUCAAGAUUCGUUUACAGUGAAAAUGACGGCAAGACUGGGCAUUUCCUCCAUACCAUUGGAGACCACUUAGAGGGAUGUCAACAACACCUUAACAACAGAAUCAAGACAACUAAGGAAGAGUAAAUACUAGUCUCAGAUGCUACAGAUGUUCUGCUGUUGCUUCAGAAGCAGCCUCGCUCAAGGUAGAUGGAAGUUCCACCCGGAAUGGAAUCCAAACACUAUCUGCCACCUACACCACAUGGGAUCCUUAACCCACUGAAAUGGGUGGGG